AGUGAACGCUGGCGGUAGGCCUAACACAUGCAAGUCGAACGGCAGCACAGUAAGAGCUUGCUCUUACGUGUGUCGAGUGGCGGACGGGUGAGGAAUACAUCGGAAUCUACUUUUUCGUGGGGGCUAACGUAGGGAAACUUACGCUAAUACCGCAUUCGACCUACGGGUGAAAGCAGGGGAUCUUCGGACUUUUUGCGAUUGAAUGAGCCGAUGUCGGAUUAGCUGGUUGGCGGGGUAUAGGCCCAACUAGGCGACUAUCCGUAGCUGGUCUGACGGGGUGAGCCGCCAGACUGGAACUGAGACACAGCCCAGACUCCUACGGGAGGCAGCAGUGGGGAAUAUUGGGCAAUGGAGGCGAGCCUGAUCCAGCCAUACCGCGUGGGUGAAGAAGGACUUCGGGUUGGAAAGCCCUUUUGUUGGGAAAGAAAAGCAGCAGGUUAAUACCCCGCUGUUCUGACGGUACCCAAAGAAUAAGCACCGGCUAACUUCGUG
rnacentral:rRNA from 1 species